rnacentral:lncRNA from 1 species
AAAAAGCCUGGGCGUGGCCUAUUGGGAAGCAUCUCUGACAUCAAAGGCCUCAGUUUGAAUAUUGACUCAGCUACCCUAUCCCACAGGCUCUGAUACCCUCCUGUACCUCUCAGGGGCCCUGCUACCCUCCUGUACCUCUCAGGGGCCCUGCUACCCUCCAGCACCUCUCAGGGACCCUGCUACCCUCCAGCACCUCUCAGAGGCUCUGCUACCCACCAGCAACUCUCAGGGACCCUGCUACCCUCCAGCACCUCUCAGGGACCCUGCUACCCUCCAGCACCUCUCAGAGGCUCUGCUACCCACCAGCAACUCUCAGAGGCUCUGCUACCCUCCAGCACCUUUGGGGGGCUCUGCUACCCACCAGCACCUCUCAGAGGCUCUGCUACCUUCCAACACCUCUCAGGGGCUCUGCUACCCAUCAGCACCUCUCAGGGUUCUGCCACCCCUUCCCCUGCUACCCUCUGGCACCUUUCAGGGACCCUGCUACCCUCCAGCACCUCUCAGGGGCCCUGCUACCCUCCAUCACUUCUCAGGGACCCUGCUACUUUCCAGCACUUCUCAGGGACCCUGCUACCCUCCUGCACCUCUCAGGGACCCUGCUACCCUCCAGCACCUCUCAGGGACCCUGCUACCCUCCAGCACCUCUCAGGGACCCUGCUACCCUCCAGCACUUCUCAGGGACCCUGCUACCCUCCAGCACCUCUCAGGGACCCUGCUACCCUCCAGCACCUCUCAGAGGCUCUGCUACCCUCCAGCACCUCUCAGAGGCUCUGCUACCCUCCAGCACUUUUGGGGGGCUCUGCUACCCACCAGCACCUCUCAGAGGCUCUGCUACCCUCCAGCACCUCUCAGGGGCUCUGCUACCCAUCAGCACCUCUCAGGGUUCUGCCACCCCUUCCCCUGCUACCCUCCAGCACCUUUCAGGGACCCUGCUACCCUCUAGCACCUCUCAGAGGCCCUGCUACCCUCCAUCACUUCUCAGGGACCCUGCUACCCUCCAGCACCUCUCAGGGGCCCUGCUACCCUCCAACACCUCUCAGAGGCUCUGCUACCCUCCAGCACCUUUGGGGGGGGGGCUCUGCUACCCACCAGCACCUCUCAGGGGCUCUGCUACCCUCCAGUACCUUUUGGGGGCUCUGCUACCCACCAGCACCUCUCAGGGGCUCUGCUACCCAUCAGCACCUCUCAGAGGCUCUGCUACCCAUCAGCACCUCUCAGGGGCUCUGCAGCCUGCCAGCACUUCUCUCUCUCUGGGCUCUGUUUCCUCACUUGUAAAUUAGGGCAUUGGACUUAUAUGAUCUCUGAGGUCUCUUCCACAUCUAAAAUCUGUGAUCUAAAUCCAGACAGAAACAAAUCCU